rnacentral:misc_RNA from 1 species
UUUCCGUUGGUGAACCAGCGGAGGGAUCAUUACCGAAGUUACCUUCAAAACCCACUGUGAACCUUACCUCUUGCCGCGUUGUCUCGGCAGGAGGCGGUGUGCGUCGCGCGCCCUAGCGGGCCGUGCCGCUCCCGUCCCCGCCGGCAGCGCCAAACUCUAAAUGCACAGCGGACUGCACGUUCUGAUUUACAAAAAAAACAAGUUAAAACUUUCAACAACGGAUCUCUUGGUUCUG